GUGGGGAAUAUUGGACAAUGGGCGAAAGCCUGAUCCAGCCAUGCCGCGUGUGUGAAGAAGGCCUUUUGGUUGUAAAGCACUUUAAGCGAGGAGGAGGCUACCGAGAUUAAUACUCUUGGAUAGUGGACGUUACUCGCAGAAUAAGCACCGGCUAACUCUGUGCCAGCAGCCGCGGUAAUACAGAGGGUGCAAGCGUUAAUCGGAUUUACUGGGCGUAAAGCGCGCGUAGGUGGCCAAUUAAGUCAAAUGUGAAAUCCCCGAGCUUAACUCGGGAAUUGCAUUCGAUACUGGUUGGCUAGAGUAUGGGAGAGGAUGGUAGAAUUCCAGGUGUAGCGGUGAAAUGCGUAGAGAUCUGGAGGAAUACCGAUGGCGAAGGCAGCCAUCUGGCCUAAUACUGACACUGAGGUGCGAAAGCAUGGGGAGCAAACAGGAUUAGAUACCCUAGUAGUCC
rnacentral:rRNA from 1 species